GGGGCUGUAGCUCAGUUUGGUCAGAGUGUCUCCCUGUCACGGAGAAGGUCGCGGGUUCGAGCCCCGUCAGCCCCG
rnacentral:tRNA from 1 species